rnacentral:rRNA from 1 species
UCUUGGUCAUUUAGAGGAAGUAAAAGUCGUAACAAGGUUUCCGUAGGUGAACCUGCGGAAGGAUCAUUAUUGAACUUUGAGGAGGAAGAUGGAAAGUAAUGAUUGUCGCUGGCAAUUCUCUAAGAGUAGUUGCAUGUGCACGUCUUUGCUAUCUGUCGACCUUUUUCUCAUUCAUUUCACACACCUGUGCACCUAUUGUAGGUCCUCGAAAGAGGAUCUAUGUUUUUUCAUAUCACAUCUUCAAUCGUAUGUUUAUAGAAUGUUAUCAGAAGGCUUUCGUCGACCAGAUUCAUUUCUGGUUGGGCUGGCUGGAUAUAAAAAUCAUAUACAACUUUCAGCAACGGAUCUCUUGGCUCUCGCAUCGAUGAAGAACGCAGCGAAUUGCGAUAAGUAAUGUGAAUUGCAGAUUUCCAGUGAAUCAUCGAAUCUUUGAACGCACCUUGCGCUCCUUGGUAUUCCAAGGAGCAUGCCUGUUUGAGUGUCAUUGAAUUCUCAACCAAUGUCUUGAUUGAUGUUGGCUUGGAGUUGGGAGUUGCUGGCAAUCUCUUUUGUCAGCUCUCCUGAAAUGUAUUAGCAAUCGGAUAGCUAGUCUUUGAUGUGCGCGGCCCUUCGACGUGAUAAUGAUCGUCGUGGCUGGAGCGUCUUUGAGCCGUGCAUGAAUAGCCUAUUGCUUAUAAUAACCAACAUUUUCGAAACUUGACCUCAAAUCAGGUAGGACUACCCGCUGAACUUAAGCAUAUCAAUAAGCGGAGGAAUCGA